CACGUAGUUAGCCGGGGCUUCUUACUCAGGUACCGUCAUUUAUUCUUCCCUGCUGAUAGGGCUUUACAUAACGAAUUACUUCUUCACUCACGCGGCGUCGCUGCAUCAGGGUUCCCCCCAUUGUGCAAUAUCCCCCACUGCUGCCUCCCGUAGGAGUCUGGGCCGUGUCUCAGUCCCAAUGUGGCCGUCCGCCCUCUCAGGCCGGCUACUGAUCGUCGCUUUGGUAGGCCGUUACCCUGCCAACUGGCUAAUCAGACGCGGGCCCAUCGUAUACCGUCUCGGCUUUUCACACUCCAGUAUGCACUGCUGUGCGCUUAUGCGGUAUUAGCACCUAUUUCUAAGUGUUAUCCCCCUGUAUACGGUAGGUUGCCCACGCGUUACUCACCCGUCCGCCACUAAGAUACAUUUUCCUUCAGACGAAUCCUCAUUCCAAUAUAUCCCCGUUCGACUUGCAUGUGUUAGGCACGCCGCCAGCGUUCAUCCUGAGCCAGGAUCAAACU
rnacentral:rRNA from 1 species